GAAAUUAUUGAUCUGUCUUGAUAUGAUGUACUAACAUGUUUAAUCUGAUUUCUCUGAGGCUUGAUGAAUAGAUUUUGUUCUGUUUGACUGCUGAAAUUUUAGGCACGUAGAUAGCUGUAUUGCAUAUUUAGUUAUUGCAUUGUGUUUUAUUGCUUGGGGACAAACAAUUGGUUAAGUUUGGGGGUAUUUGAUGAGUAGGUUUUAU
rnacentral:lncRNA from 1 species